rnacentral:rRNA from 1 species
UAAGGAAUAUUGGUCAAUGGACGCAAGUCUGAACCAGCCAUGCCGCGUGAAGGAUGAAGGUCCUCUGGAUUGUAAACUUCUUUUAUAUGGGACGAAACCUCUUAUUCUUAAGAGACUGACGGUACCAUAGGAAUAAGCACCGGCUAACUCCGUGCCAGCAGCCGCGGUAAUACGGAGGGUGCAAGCGUUAUCCGGAUUCACUGGGUUUAAAGGGAGCGUAGGAGGGCAGGUAAGUCAGUGGUGAAAUCUUCGAGCUUAACUCGGAAACUGCCGUUGAUACUAUCUAUCUUGAAUACCGUGGAGGUGAGCGGAAUAUGUCAUGUAGCGGUGAAAUGCUUAGAUAUGACAUAGAACACCAAUUGCGAAGGCAGCUCGCUACACGAAUAUUGACUCUGAGGCACGAAAGCGUGGGGAUCAAACA